AGCGAACGCUGGCGGCAUGCUUAACACAUGCAAGUCGCACGGCCCGCAAGGGCAGUGGCGGACGGGUGAGUAACGCGUAGGUAUCUGUCUCCGGGUGGGGGAUAACGGUUGGAAACGACUGCUAAUACCGCAUGAUGCCCGAGGGCCAAAGGCGCAAGUCGCCUGGAGAGGAGCCUGCGUACGAUUAGCUUGUUGGCGGGGUAAAGGCCCACCAAGGCGACGAUCGUUAGCUGGUCUGAG
rnacentral:rRNA from 1 species